CCCAAAAUGAAAAUCUUAUCUUCCAUUUCCAGUCACCCUCAAAUUUUCUCGCCAUCCAAACAAAACUAACAGAUGAAAACAGAUCCUCCCAAUUGAACUGAAUCUGCUAAUUGUCAAAUGGCAAUUGCAACCGCAAAAUUAUCAGAAUUGCCACUGAGAAAUUCACUGCCAUUCCCACUCACCUGCCACUCCCUUUUCUCUUCUACGUUAAAGCCGCCCUUUCAAUCCCUCAGAAAGUCUUUCCGUCUUUCCUCUUCACUUCAAACCAACGAAAACCCUAAACCUACGAAUCAUAUUCCCUCCCCCAAGGCCCCCUGGCUCUCCAAAUGGGGCCCUGAUAAUCCCCCUCCUCCUCCGGCUACCGCUUCUGCUCCGGCUCCUAGAAAGGUUACUCAAUCCAGUUUUCAAGAUAAAACUCGGUAUUUGAACAAAGACAAAGGGCUAAACGCGAUAGAGAGAAUCGUGCUCCGAUUGAGGAAUUUGGGGUUAACUUCCGACGAUGAGGGUGAUGAAGAAGAAGAGGCAGCGGAGGAAAUUGAAUUCAGAGGUGGCGAUUUAGCGCCAGUAACCGGGGAGGAGAGAUUGGCAGAUCUAUUGCAGCGAGAGUGGGUUCGGCCAGACACUAUCUUUAGCAAUCAGGACGAUGAAGAGGACGAUGACAUGGUAUUGCCGUGGGAGAGAAAGGAAAGCGAGAGGAAGGGCAGAGAGGAGGGAGAGGGAGGGAGGGAAAGGAAACGAACUGUCAAAGCUCCAACAUUAGCUGAAUUGACCAUAGAAGAUGAGGAGCUGAGAAGGCUGAGGAGGAUGGGGAUGUUUGUAAGAGAGAGAGUUAGCAUUCCGAAAGCCGGACUCACGAAGGAUGUAUUGGAGAAGAUUCAUGAUAAAUGGAGGAAGCAGGAGUUGGUUAGGCUUAAAUUUCAUGAGGUGCUCGCCCAUGAUAUGAAGACUGCCCAUGAGAUCACUGAGCGUCGGACAGGGGGAUUAGUCAUAUGGAGGGCAGGAAGUGUUAUGGUUGUGUACCGAGGAAGUAACUAUGAAGGGCCUUCAUCCAAAUCUCGAACUGUUGAUAGAGAAGGGGAUGCUCUUUUUGUUCCAGAUGUUUCUUCUGCUGACAAUGCAGCAGUGACAAGCGACAAUGUUGCACUUGCAGCUUCGACUCCUGAAAAGAGGGAACCAACAAUGGGAAUGAUAAACCGUGCUGAGAACAUGACAGAAGAGGAAGCUGAAUUCAACCAUCUGCUUGAUGGUCUAGGCCCUCGUUUUGAAGAGUGGUGGGGCACUGGAAUACUGCCAGUGGAUGCUGACUUACUUCCUCCAAAAGUUCCUGGUUAUAAAACACCUUUUAGGCUUCUUCCUACUGGAAUGCGGUCAAGGCUUACGAAUGCAGAGAUGACUAAUUUGCGAAAACUUGCUAAAACGCUUCCUUGUCAUUUUGCCCUUGGGAGAAACAGAAACCACCAAGGUUUGGCAGCUGCAAUACUCCAGCUUUGGGAGAAAAGCCUUGUUGCAAAGAUUGCUGUGAAACGAGGUAUCCAGAAUACAAAUAAUAAACUAAUGGCUGAGGAGAUAAAGGCAUUAACAGGAGGUGUCUUAUUGCUUAGAAACAAGUAUUACAUUGUCAUAUACCGUGGAAAGGAUUUUUUGCCAACAAGUGUAGCUGCCGCUUUAGCAGAGAGAGAAGAAUUAACAAAACAGAUUCAAGAUGAUGAAGAAAAAGUGCGAAGCAAAGGAGUGGAGGCACCAUUAUCUGGGCACAAUGAAGGAAAGGCCCUUGCAGGUACCUUGGCAGAGUUCUAUGAGGCUCAAGCCCGGUGGGGCAAAGAUAUUUCUUCUGAAGAACGUGAAAAGAUGAUUGAAGAUGCUUCCAGAGCAAAAAGGGCCAGAAUUGUCAAACGAAUUGAACAUAAGUUAGCUGUUGCCCAAGCCAAAAAGCUUAGAGCAGAAAGACUGUUAGCCAAGAUAGAAGCCUCUAUGGUUCCUUCUGGUCCUGAUUAUGACCAAGAAACAAUUACUGAUGAGGAACGGGCAAUGUUUCGUAGGGUUGGCUUAAGAAUGAAAGCAUACUUGCCUCUAGGAAUUCGUGGUGUUUUUGAUGGUGUCAUUGAAAAUAUGCAUUUGCACUGGAAGCACAGAGAACUAGUGAAGCUGAUAUCCAAACAAAAGACUCUUGCAUUUGUUGAAGAUACAGCUAGGCUGUUGGAAUAUGAGAGUGGAGGGAUACUAGUGGCAGUUGAAAGAGUACCCAAAGGAUUUGCUCUUAUUUACUAUCGGGGAAAGAACUAUCGACGGCCUAUUAACUUGAGGCCAAGAAAUCUCCUGACGAAGGCAAAAGCACUGAAACGUUCUGUGGCCAUGCAACGCCAUGAGGCUCUUAGUCAGCACAUAUCUGAAUUGGAAAGAACCAUAGAGCAAAUGAAGAAAGAAAUUGGUCUUCCUCUAGAAGAAGAUGACAAGAAUAAUUGGACCUCAGAGGAACAGGGGCAGUUAAAUCAUGUCUCAGAAUUCAGCCAGAGAGAGGAUGAAUCUGCAUUUUUUGGAUCUGAUGAGGAAGGGGAUCAUGAUGACAUUGAUGAAGAUGACGAUGAUGACAUUGAUGAAGAUGAUGAUGAUGACCUUGAUGAUGAUGAUGAGGAUGAUGCUGAUUGGGAAUCCAGUGGAGAUUUUGAAUUUUUAGGCUUGCAAGAUGGUGAUCAUCCUUUGGACAAAAAUGGUUGACAGGUCUUUGAAUUUUUGAAGUGACUGGAUGGCAUUUUUUCUUGCAUAUGUCAAAAUGCAGCAUCAGGUUGACACAGCUUGGAUGAUUCUAUGGAUGAUGUAGCUGUUCGAGCAUUAUCUGGGCUAAGCUGGAAGACAAUUUUGAUUUGAUCAUUAAAUACCUACAUGUUGACUUCAUCACAAGCACCCUUCAUUGAUCAAAUGCUUUACUGUGUUCUAUGAGCUCGCUAUUUGUCUGAAACCCUUUUUUUUUUCCUUUAAAUCUUCAAUGACAACAAAACCAAACCGUCGUGACCAUGUAUUCAACGACUAGUGUGCCAAAGUGAGGAGCUUUUUCCAAGAUAAAAGUUGUGUAGCGUACUAGUAAGGAUGACGAUGGCUUCCAUUUUGUAGUGUUAUGAUGUCUCUGUUUGAUAUGUAGAGCAUUCUAUCAUCUUUAUUAUUGUAUAUUGUUUUGGGGUAACAAAAUCGAAUUCAAAUAUAUUGUUCGGUUACAGUUGCACUUUUGAA